GACGAACGCUGGCGGCGUGCCUAAUACAUGCAAGUCGAACGCAGUGGGGACGGGUGAGUAACACGUGGGUAACCUCCCAUCAGAGGGGAUAACACUUGGAAACAGGUGCUAAACCGAUACUGAUGGAUGAACCCGCGGUGCAUUAGCUAGUUGGUGGGGUAACGGUUCACCAAGGCCACGAUGCAUAGCCGACCCGAGAGUUUGAUCGGCCAUACUUGGACUGAGACACGGCCCAUACUCCUACGUGAGGCAGGAGUAGGGAAUUUUCGGCCAUGGACGAAAGUCUUGCCGAUCAACGCCGCGUGAGUGAAGAAGUGUUUCGGAUCGUAAAACUCUGUUGUUAGAGAAGCGGUAUCUAACCAGAAAGCCACGGCUAACUACGUGCCUGCCGCCGCGGUAAUUC
rnacentral:rRNA from 1 species